UACGGAAGGGGGCAAGCGUUGUUCGGAAUCAUUGGGCGUAAAGGGCGCGUAGGUGGUUCUGUAUGUCUACCGUGAAAGCGUACGGCUCAACCGUAUUUUGUCGGUGGAAACUGCAGGACUUUGAGGCUGGGAGGGGCUGGUGGAAUUCCCUGUGUAGCGGUGAAUGCGUAGAGAUGGGGGAGAACACUCGUGGCGAAGGCGGCCAGCUAGACCAGUUCUGACACUGAGGCGCGACAGCGUGGGGAGCAAACAGG
rnacentral:rRNA from 1 species